CUGGAUUUAGCCAAAGCUAGAGCUCGAUGACAAAUAAAUUGUAAGUUUAUGUUUGAUGCUGAGCACAACAGGAGUUGAUGAAGGAGCUGUGACGUCACCUAUGGACGCUUAGAGCUGCGAACAUUUGAUACCCAGGUUGUGUAGGCUGCUUUUGAAGAGAUCUUCUGUUGGAAGUAGAGCCACCGUCUGUCCUCCGUCGUCCAUCCACAUAUCCAUCUCAACUGCCGUCUCACCGUCCUCCCAGGAAGCCUCCAUCUCCACUCAGCCAUCAGUCAUCAGCUCAAAGCGGGGAAACAAGGCUGGAGCUAAUGUGUCUGGACAUUUCCCUCCUCACCCCUCCAUCUGCCCCAUCACUGAUUAAGAGGCGUCCAGAAAGCUCCCAGUUGAACAGCAUGAGAUUCGACACGGAGCAACACAUCACCUGUUUCAACACAGGCAUGAGUCCAAUAGGAGUAAUAGGAUCAAAGUUCAUGGUCACCAUCAAAGAAAACCAUGUGUAGGCUACUUUAUAUGGAGACAGGGAAAAUGGAGCCCAAAAAGAUAUUAAAACAUAUUUACAUUGUGUUUCUAAUCAAACUUGAAGAAAAAGAAGAAGAAGAAGAGUUUCCUGCUUUUUAAUAUGAAAUUCGUUACAUCAAGCUUCCCAUAUAGUCUCAUGGAGAAAAAAAAAAAAGGGUAAUGCUGCAUUAAUUGCCAUACUGGCUGUUGCUUCCAUGAUGUUCAAUAAUAGCACAUUUUAAUUAGAUUUUUAUUUUAGGACGGUCUAUGUAGGCCAGGCCUGACCACACCCCUGAAAACAUGGCUGCUGUUCAUGGUCACAAUAUGGAACAUGCAAUAGCGAGACACAGUGCUCAAGCAAAACAUAGCUCGACUGCAUCACUCAUAUUUUUCUUUUUUGUGGCAUUGAAAAAAUUUCAAAGAGGAGAUAUUGUCAAUAACUUUCUGAGAAGAGAAGCUUUUUUUUAUUAUUAUUUUGGAUGCACUAAACACAGUUGAAUCGCAUUGGCUUAAUGGAGAGCUGAGCCUUUCAUGUUACCUUUAAUCUGGGUCCCAAGCAGAAUGGUAUAGUGUUGCUUCUUUUAAGAUAUGAUUGUGUAACUUGCUAGUUAUGAGUAAUAUUGGGCUGUUUUAUUGUUUCACACUGUAGCACCUUCCUUCUUGAAAGAGCUGUCAAGAUAUUGGCUCGGUGAUUGAUUACCUCCCAGCCCUGUUAACCAAUGAGAGGACUGUUCUCUGCCUGGAAGAGGUUAUUUAAGUUUUUUAAAAAUGUA